UUGUUGACGUAACACCAUUGCGC
rnacentral:miRNA from 2 species